CUAACACAUGCAAGUCGAACGGUAACAGGAAGAAGCUUGCUUCUUUGCUGACGAGUGGCGGACGGGUGAGUAAUGUCUGGGAAACUGCCUGAUGGAGGGGGAUAACUACUGGAAACGGUAGCUAAUACCGCAUAACGUCGCAAGACCAAAGAGGGGGACCUUCGGGCCUCUUGCCAUCGGAUGUGCCCAGAUGGGAUUAGCUAGUAGGUGGGGUAACGGCUCACCUAGGCGACGAUCCCUAGCUGGUCUGAGAGGAUGACCAGCCACACUGGAACUGAGACACGGUCCAGACUCCUACGGGAGGCAGCAGUGGGGAAUAUUGCACAAUGGGCGCAAGCCUGAUGCAGCCAUGCCGCGUGUAUGAAGAAGGCCUUCGGGUUGUAAAGUACUUUCAGCGGGGAGGAAGGGAGUAAAGUUAAUACCUUUGCUCAUUGACGUUACCCGCAGAAGAAGCACCGGCUAACUCCGUGCCAGCAGCCGCGGUAAUACGGAGGGUGCAAGCGUUAAUCGGAAUUACUGGGCGUAAAGCGCACGCAGGCGGUUUGUUAAGUCAGAUGUGAAAUCCCCGGGCUCAACCUGGGAACUGCAUCUGAUACUGGCAAGCUUGAGUCUCGUAGAGGGGGGUAGAAUUCCAGGUGUAGCGGUGAAAUGCGUAGAGAUCUGGAGGAAUACCGGUGGCGAAGGCGGCCCCCUGGACGAAGACUGACGCUCA
rnacentral:rRNA from 1 species